AAGCGUGUAGGCUGGUUUUCCAGGCAAAUCCGGAAAAUCAAGGCUGAGGCGUGAUGACGAGGCACUACGGUGCUGAAGCAACAAAUGCCCUGCUUCCAGGAAAAGCCUCUAAGCAUCAGGUAACAUUGAAUCGUACCCCAAACCGACACAGGUGGUCAGGUAGAGAAUACCAAGGCGCUUGAGAGAACUCGGGUGAAGGAACUAGGCAAAAUGGUGCCGUAACUUCGGGAGAAGGCACGCUGAUAUGUAGGUGAA
rnacentral:rRNA from 1 species